AAAGUCGUAACAAGGUUUCCGUAGGUGAACCUGCGGAAGGAUCAUUGUCGAUUCCUGCAAGAGCAGAACGACCCGUGAACAUGUGAACACAAUGCCGGCCGGGCGGGCACACGCUCGCAGGGCCGCUGGGAGGACGCGGGCUCUCUGCUGCCCCCGUGCUCCCGACCGUACAACGUACCCCGGCGCGGGAUGCGCCAAGGAACUAGAACACGAGAGGCGUGGCCCUGGGCGAUCCCCCCAUGCGGGUUCGGCCCGGGGGACCUUGCCUUCUCCAGUGCAACAACAACGACUCUCGGCAACGGAUAUCUCGGCUCUCGCAUCGAUGAAGAACGUAGCGAAAUGCGAUACUUGGUGUGAAUUGCAGAAUCCCGUGAACCAUCGAGUCUUUGAACGCAAGUUGCGCCCGAAGGCCUUUGGCCGGAGGGCACGCCUGCCUGGGUGUCACGCAACAUGUCGCCCCCAGCCACCCGACGCCUCUAAGUCAUGCCACGGGCGUGCGGCGGCGGGGGGGUGCGGAAGUUGGCCUCCCGUGGCAUCCCUGCCGUGGCUGGCCCAAAAGCGAGCAAUGGAGCGACGCACUCCGCGACGCGCGGUGGUGGUAAAAGCGCCCCUCGGGCAACGGUCCGGACCGUCUCUCCCUUGGUGCUCGGCGGCCUUCCAUCCGAAAAGCAUGCGACCCCAGGUCAGGCGGGGCCACCCGCUGAGUUUAAGCAUAUCAAUAAGCGGAGGAA
rnacentral:rRNA from 1 species